UACGUAGGGUGCGAGCGUUGUCCGGAAUUAUUGGGCGUAAAGAGCUUGUAGGCGGUUUGUCGCGUCUGCUGUGAAAAUCCGGGGCUUAACCCCGGACCUGCAGUGGGUACGGGCAGACUAGAGUGUGGUAGGGGAGACUGGAAUUCCUGGUGUAGCGGUGAAAUGCGCAGAUAUCAGGAGGAACACCGGUGGCGAAGGCGGAUCUCUGGGCCAUUACUGACGCUGAGGAGCGAAAGCGUGGGGAGCGAACAGG
rnacentral:rRNA from 1 species